GGCGACGCGGGCGUGGGAGGACCCGGAUGUGCCUCGCUCCCAACAUGGCGGCGGCGGCGGCCGACGCUUUUCCCGGCGGACCCGGAACGCGCAGCUGAGGCAGGAGAGCUCUCCCUUGGCGGAAGGAUUUUGGCAAUCCAGGGAGGAUCCCAGCGGUGUCCUGGAAAGGUGGAAGGAGGGAUCAGCCCAGGAUGAGCAGGGAAAAUGGGGAAUAUACAGAAAUCUUGACAGAUUUUCGCUGGGGUCGAAGUGGAUGAGGAGAAAAACUUCAUAAUGGAUCAUUUUUAAGGAAAAAACGUCAAAGGCUGGGAAAACCUUGGAAGCAAUGCGAUUCUGGAGCCUGGAAAAUGAGAUUGAGCUGAGGAGCUGGAAAAGAAUGGGAGGAAACAGCAGGAAAUUGGCACUGGGAAGAGCAGUGGAAGUGUGAAAAACGAUCCACGGGAUUUCGGGGCCAUCCCCAGCUGGAUUCAUGGCCCCACCACUGGGAUCACAUUCCCAAAACCCUCCCAGCUCAGCUUGUUCCAGGCCUGGAAACUGCAGGAAAAACAGGGCCUGAAAUCAGCCAUACCCUGGAUUAUGCCCAGAGCACUGGGAUCCCAGAAAAAAAAGCAGAUUUUUAAAUUUUUUAACAAAUUUUUAAAACUUGUUUGUUGGUUCAGGUGAGGUAACCAAUGGACGAUUCCCACUUCCAAGUGGGAAUUUCUGGCGUUCCUGGUGUUUCCAAGCUUGGACUUGGGGAAAAAUGGGAAGUAAUUGGAUAAGAGGGGGGAUGUUGGACAGAAGUGGCGAGUGGAUGGAUAAAAGUCAUUCCUGCUGCAGGGUUUAGGGUGCUGAUCCCCUCCAUCCCAGCGUGUUUCGUCCCAACAACGUUUCAAAUUUAUUUCGUGCUAAGUGUGGGAUUUGGGCACUGAUCCAUUCCCAGGGACAUUCCCCACUGUAACACUCAAUUUCAGGGGAUGAUGCCAUUAACGCUGGAUUUGGGGGGCUGAUCCCAUUCCCAGGGCUGGAUUUGGGGGCUGAUCCCAUUCCCAGGCCAGAAUUUGGGGGGCUGAUCCCAUUCCCAGGGCUGGAUUUGGGGCUGAUCCCAUUCCCAGGCCGGAAUUUGGGGGGCUGAUCCCAUUCCCAGGGCUGGAUUUGGGGCUGACACAGCUCCUGAUGCCGGUUCCUAUUCCCCUCACCCUAACCCCGGUUCUGGUCCCGUUCCCAUCCCCUGACCAGGUCCUGGUUCCGGUCCCAUCCCCUGACCCGG